AACGAACGCUGGCGGCAGGCCUAACACAUGCAAGUCGAACGCCCCGCCAGGGGAGUGGCAGACGGGUGAGUAACGCGUGGGAACAUACCCUUUUCUACGGAAUAGCCCUGGGAAACUGGAAUUAAUACCGUAUACGCCCUACGGGGGAAAGAUUUAUCGGGGAAGGAUUGGCCCGCGUUGGAUUAGCUAGUUGGUGGGGUAAAGGCCUACCAAGCCGACGAUCCAUAGCUGGUCUGAGAGGAUGAUCAGCCACAUUGGGACUGAGACACGGCCCAGACUCCUACGGGAGGCAGCAGUGGGGAAUAUUGGACAAUGGGCGCAAGCCUGAUCCAGCCAUGCCGCGUGAGUGAUGAAGGCCUUAGGGUUGUAAAGCUCUUUCACCGAUGAAGAUAAUGACGGUAGUCGGAGAAGAAGCCCCGGCUAACUUCGUG
rnacentral:rRNA from 1 species